GACGUAGGGGGCUAGCGUUGUCCGGAAUCAUUGGGCGUAAAGAGCGUGUAGGCGGCCCGGUCAGUCGGUUGUGAAAGUCAGGGGCUCAACCCUUGAAUGCCGACCGAUACUGCCGGGCUAGAGUCCGGAAGAGGCGAGUGGAAUUCCUGGUGUAGCGGUGAAAUGCGCAGAUAUCAGGAGGAACACCAAUGGCGAAGGCAGCUCGCUGGGACGGUACUGACGCUGAGACGCGAAAGCGUGGGGAGCAAACAGG
rnacentral:rRNA from 1 species